rnacentral:lncRNA from 1 species
CUUGCUAUAUAUCUGUUGUUUCAUACUUUAUUUGAUCCUUUCCACUACUUUUUGUGCUUGAUGUAUCUCCUAAUUCAUUUUUUAUGUUGAAUUUUGUGAUAGGGUAUGCUGGCUGUCUACAAUUCAUUGACUGAAGAUGGAAAAAAGGAGUUUGAGACUGCAUAUAGCGCUUCAUAUUAUCCCUGCAUGGACAUCUUAUACGAGUGCUAUGAAGAUGUAGCCAGUUGCAGUGAGAUCAGGAGUGUCGUCUUGGCUGGACGUCGCUUUUAUGUAAGAUUCUAUUUCUAUUUUCACAAUUUAAGCAUUGUGAUUUAUUUAUUUUUAUCGUUCUUUUUUCUCUUCUUCCAUGCAGGAGAAGGAAGGUUUACCAGCUUUUCCGAUGGGGAACAUCGACCAGACACGAAUGUGGAAAGUUGGUGAGAAAGUUCGAGCAGCACGUCCAGCAGGUGACUUGGGACCUUUGUAUCCUUUCACUGCAGGUGUCUAUGUGGCAUUGAUGAUGGCUCAGGUGUGGAUUCUUUCAGAUCUUAACUUAAAUUUAUUUCUUAUUUACGUGCUUCUUAAAUAGCAUAUUCUAGUUCUACGCAGACUAGAAGUGAGAUUACCAUGUGAAAUCUGUGUUGCUGAUAGUAGUAAUCGCAGACUGUUAAUUGGUUGAUCUGAAAGAGUGAAAGUGGUAAUGCAUACUUAUGUUUGAUCUCUGCUCAAAUGCAUGUUGCUCGAAUUUGUUUCAAGUGUCUAUUCAGUUUACUUCAGCAAGACGAAUGAUAUUUUAGCUGGAAAAAAUGGAUUAGCAAAUAUAUUUUGUUGCACCUUUUAACUGAUGAUAAUAUCCCUGAAAUUACUCUGAAUGUGAAUGUAGAUUGAGAUUCUAAGGAAGAAAGGGCACUCCUACUCAGAGAUUAUCAACGAGAGUGUCAUUGAGUCUGUGGAUUCUUUGAAUCCUUUCAUGCAUGCUCGAGGCGUUUCAUUCAUGGUUGACAAUUGUUCAACAACAGCACGGCUAGGAUCGAGGAAGUGGGCCCCUCGUUUUGACUACAUUCUCACGCAGCAGGCUUUGGUAGCAGUGGAUAAAGGUGCUCCCAUUAACCAAGAUCUCAUUAGCAACUUCCUAUCAGAUCCUGUACAUGGAGCUAUUGAAGUAUGUGCCCAAUUGAGACCUACUGUGGACAUAUCAGUGCCCCCGGAUGCUGAUUUUGUCCGUCCUGAGUUGCGUCAGUCGAGCAACUGAGGUUUUGAAGUUCAAUCUCCUAAGAAGCUCUUCUCCAUGGAAUUGAGGAGAGAUUCUUCAAACCAAGCAGAGAUUUGAAGUAAUGUUUCGAGUGAGCCAGGUAUCCAGGUGUCUUAAAUUAAAGGUCCUUCGUGAUUUUCUCUAUCUCCUCUAGGAGGAUUAUGCAGUUAUAGUAGCAGAAUGGUCCUGUAUUUUAACGUAUCUUGCGUUAGUCGGGCUCUGUAUGUGUUUUGAGUUGGUAAUAUUGCAAUAAUCAGUUUUUAUUCUGAACAAUUGACUUGGAAGGUAUUAUGAGAGGGAAUAAUUCAUAUAUUUAAUUUAUGAUGUGGCGUUUUAGAGUAAGCAUCAACACGAGGACAUUUUAAGGGUGCGUUUGAUUAUCAAUAUUUUUUAUGAA